GAGACUGUGUUAAUGGGAUGCGUCGCUUACUUUGCUCGCAGCAGGUCCUGGUCUUUGAGAACCGACCCUUGAAGAUAGAUGACCCUUUGUGACCACAGAGGGAUCUGCAGGACCCGCCGCACCUGAAGGUAGAUCAGCUCCUCAAACUGGCGAAAAGGCACGCGGAGUGAACCUGAGCUGCGCACGUGCAGCGUUCGGACGUCGGCCCACAUCAUUUCGGCGCGUGCGUACCUGCAGGGGCAGCACCACCAGGGCCACGCAGAUCAUGAUGACCACCAGCAGCUGGGACGGCCAUAUGCGGGGGGUCACGUCGCCGAAGCCCACGGUGGAAAACGUGACGAUGCAGAAGUAGAAGGAGUUGAAGAGGGACAGGUUCUUGCCCGCUCGCUCCAGGUGCUGGAUUCCACACGUGCUGAUUUGAAGUCACCACGUCGGCAAUUAAGAAUGUCACGUGCAACUUACAUUCUACUAUUUUAAUACAUUAUAAUUUUCUGCA